ACGGAAGGCAGCAGUGGGGAAUAUUGCACAAUGGGGGAAACCCUGAUGCAGCGACGCCGCGUGAGUGAAGAAGUAUUUCGGUAUGUAAAGCUCUAUCAGCAGGGAAGAUGAUGACGGUACCUGACUAAGAAGCCCCGGCUAACUACGUGCCAGCAGCCGCGGUAAUACGUAGGGGGCAAGCGUUAUCCGGAUUUACUGGGUGUAAAGGGAGCGUAGGCGGCCAGACAAGUCAGGUGUGAAAACCCGGGGCUUAACCCCGGGACUGCACUUGAAACUGCCUGGCUGGAGUGCAGGAGAGGCAAGUGGAAUUCCUAGUGUAGCGGUGAAAUGCGUAGAUAUUAGGAAGAACACCGGUGGCGAAGGCGACUUGCUGGACUGAGACUGACGCUGAGGCUCGAAAGCGUGGGGAGCAAACAGGAUUAGAUACCCUGGUA
rnacentral:rRNA from 1 species